rnacentral:rRNA from 1 species
GACGAAGGGGGCUAGCGUUGUUCGGAAUUACUGGGCGUAAAGCGCGUGUAGGCGGUUGCCCAAGUCGGGUGUGAAAGCCUUGAGCUCAACUCAAGAAAUGCACUCGGUACUGGGUGACUAGAGGACCGGAGAGGAAAGUGGAAUUCCCAGUGUAGUGGUGAAAUACGUAGAGAUUGGGAAGAACACCAGUGGCGAAGGCGGCUAUCUGGACGGUUUCUGACGCUAAGACGCGAAAGCGUGGGGAGCAAACAGG